AGGACCCUCUGUGACAGGACAGGACCCUGGCCCUCAUUCACCCGGCCAGAGGAGUCUCUCAUCCUGGGAUCCCUAAAUUUGUGCCCCUAGCACAGUCUCCUCUGCUUCCAACUUGUCUCCUAGCUAGAGACCAACCUGUUCACCUUCCCUUGGGGCUUCCCGCACAGGGAUCAGGCAGAUACUCCUGGGGGUCCCUCUCUCAUGAGGGGGCUGCAUGGGCUAGGGUGGGGGAAGAUGACUGCUCCAUGUUCUCCUCAGAUUGACACUACUCUCUUCGCAGGCUCGUUUUCAGGAUUCCACGAGGGGGUUGUUCUGUGUCACCACGCCUAGGGGCUACCAUGUCAGAGCUGGAAUCCCUGCUGCACGGCUUCCUUGGGGUGCAGCCCAGAGUCUUUGGGGGAUGGCAUCCCUGCACGUUGGUAUCUGACUGGCAUCCUUAGUGACUGUGAUGCUCCCAGCCCCCUUGCCAAUGGCUGUAGCGUCUCUCGUUGCCAGGCGGUGCUAGUGGUGGUGGGGCUGCUGCAGGUGGCCUUCGGAACCCUCUUCGUCAUCGACAACUGCGCUUACACGGAUAGUGUCGGCAUCCAUUUCUUCCCAGGAAUCCUGUUAUUCUUGGCUGGCAUCAUUGCCAUCGCUGCUGACAGAGCACCUAGCAUGGCCCUGGUGAAGGCCUGUCUGGUGAUCCAGAUCAUUGCUGCAGCUGUUGUCAUGGUGAUCAACUUCCUCUACCUGAGGGACCUGCUCUCCUAUCUCAGUUUUGCCUGUGAUCUCCAGGACCAGCUCCAGAAUUGCCGUGUGCAUGAUCAGAUCAUGGGCUGUCUUUUCCACUCCAGAGCCUGUGAGAAGUUUGUUCUAUAUCAAGACGCUCGGUUCUGCCAUGUCGGAAGCAGGACCCCUGAUGCAGCGGUUCCUCCAG
rnacentral:lncRNA from 1 species